UUCCGGUUGAUCCCGCCGGACCUGACUGCUAUCGGAUUGAUACUAAGCCAUGCGAGUCAUUGUAGCAAUACAAGGCAUACGGCUCAGUAACGCGUAGUCAACCUAACCUAUGGACGGGAAUAACCUCGGGAAACUGAGAAUAAUGCCCGAUAGAACAUUAUGCCUGGAAUGGUUUAUGUUCCAAAUGAUUUAUCGCCGUAGGAUGGGACUGCGGCCUAUCAGUUUGUUGGUGAGGUAAUGGCCCACCAAGACUAUUACAGGUACGGGCUCUGAGAGGAGUAGCCCGGAGAUGGGUACUGAGACACGGACCCAGGCCCUAUGGGGCGCAGCAGGCGAGAAAACUUUGCAAUGUGCGAAAGCACGACAAGGUUAAUCCGAGUGGUUUCUGCUAAAGGAACCUUUUGUCAGUCCUAGAAACACUGAUGAAUAAGGGGUGGGCAAGUUCUGGUGUCAGCCGCCGCGGUAAAACCAGCACCUCAAGUGGUCAGGAUGAUUAUUGGGCCUAAAGCAUCCGUAGCCGGCUCUGUAAGUUUUCGGUUAAAUCUGUACGCUCAACGUACAGGCUGCCGGGAAUACUGCAAAGCUAGGGAGUGGGAGAGGUAGACGGUACUCGGUAGGAAGGGGUAAAAUCCUUUGAUCUAUUGAUGACCACCUGUGGCGAAGGCGGUCUACCAGAACACGUCCGACGGUGA
rnacentral:rRNA from 1 species